ACAGCAGCAGCCGCGGGAAUACGGAGGGUGCAAGCGUUAUCCGGAUUUAUUGGGUUUAAAGGGUCCGUAGGCGGAUCUGUAAGUCAGUGGUGAAAUCUCACAGCUUAACUGUGAAACUGCCAUUGAUACUGCAGGUCUUGAGUAAAUUUGAAGUGGCUGGAAUAAGUAGUGUAGCGGUGAAAUGCAUAGAUAUUACUUAGAACACCAAUUGCGAAGGCAGGUCACUAAGAUUUAACUGACGCUGAUGGACGAAAGCGUGGGGAGCGAACAGGAUUAGAUACCCGAGUAGUCCCUGUCUCUUAUAC
rnacentral:rRNA from 1 species